UGACAGAAUGGCCAUGGUGAUGCAUCCAAUCUAAGUAUUAGGCUAAUAGGAAUUUAAUCUAAUAUAUCUAAUAUGUAAUCUAUUAAAUUCAGAUCAGAUACUUUUUUACAUAUCAGAUAUAUGAACUAUAAAUCAGAUCAUAUGAAUACUAUUUCAGAUAUAAAAUUUAUUUAAAAUAUGCUAGAACGAUAUGGCUCUAAUAUCACUAUUAGAAAACAGACUGAUUCGCAUGCAUAGAUCGAUACGGUUACAGUAACCAUAGUGAAAGAAGAUUUUAAAAUUUUUAAUCUGAUCUAAAUAUGCAGAUUCUCAACUUUAAUGAACUCUAGGAUCAUCUAACAUGCAUAAACAAAUUAAUAAAUCAGAUUUGAAAUCAAAACAGAAAAAAAAUUAUACAUGAUCGCUUUUUCCUCCUUUCUCGGAUCGGAUCCUGCGGAUAUCUGAGGUUGUUGCUGAAGCCGCGCAAGCAUCCGAUCUCUACUAGUAUCCACAUGAAGAUGUUUCGAUCAAAAUUCUGAAAUCUUCAGGGUGUUAGCCCCCUUGUAGGCUUCGUUCUUCGACUUGGAUCAGGACCCUUUUUCUUAUAUUACUUAAAGCAGCCCUAUAUAGGAUCCUAGGGAUUGAUCCUAACCAUCCAGAAAAAUUAAGAAAUCUUUUCUUGAUUUUCUUUCUCUAUCUCUAAGGCCUCUCUC
rnacentral:lncRNA from 1 species